rnacentral:rRNA from 1 species
AGUGAACGCUGGCGGUAGGCCUAACACAUGCAAGUCGAACGGCAGCACAGUAAGAGCUUGCUCUUACGUGUGGCGAGUGGCGGACGGGUGAGGAAUACAACGGAACCUACUUUUUCGUGUGGGCUAACGCAGUGAAACUUACGCUCAUAUCUCAUACGACCUACGGGUGAAAGCAGGGGAUCUUCGGUCCUUGCGCGAUUGAAUGACCCGAUGUCGGAUUAGUUAGUUGGCGGGGUAAAGGCCCACCAAGGCGAGGAUCCGGAGCUGGUCUGAGAGGAUGAGCAGCCGGACUGGGACUGAGACCCGGUACAGAGUGAUACGGGAGGCAGCAGUGGGGAAUAUUGGAGAAUGGGCGGAAGACAGUGCAAGAUGUACCGAGGGGGGGUGGAAGGCCGUCGGGUUGGAAAGGCCUGUUGUUGGGAAAGAAAAGCCGCAGGUUAAGGCACCGCUGUUCUGGCGGUAACCAGCGAAUGAGGACCGGCUAACUACGUG